UCUAUAACAAAGCAAAGAAUAUGAAUUAGAACUAUAAGCCAAACUUUUCAACUCCUUAAAAUUAGUUAUGAUCAGUAUCUUCUACCCAAAUUCUCAUGGUUGCCAUUGCACAUUUCUCAGAAUAAUAUUAAAUUGAUAUUGGCAAACAAGCAACAACACCAAGCUAUUAUCUAUAAUCUGAAUGAUAAUAGUGUAGAGAUACUUAUCACCAAAGCAUUAUGGGCCUUUAGCAAGGAUCAUGUUGAUAGUUUGGUUUCAAUUCGUUGAAAUUAAGCAGGUUGAGCAAGUUAGAGGUAAGGAAAAAAACAGAUGACUGAUGUAAUGGCCGAAUUUAGUACAUGAUGACUGAUUCAGUUCCUUUCUUUUUGUCGUAGUUUGAUGUUAUUGGAACUAAGCAUGGUGGUUUUAGUUGUGUAUUAAACAUCUUAGACCUAUGUAUUGAAUGUUGUUUGUAUUGAGACCUCUUUUUGUUUGUUCAAACGAGAAUUAUCUGGAAUUUUAUUGUAUCCAGUACUAAUGAUUAAUGUCCAUUUAAAUUAUUCUAGACAA